GCUGCCCAAUUUUCUCUAGAAUUUACGACGCGUUCUUAUAAUCUAUUAACUAAUGUUAAUAUGAAUUCUCCCGUGAAGGUAACAACGUGACAUUGGGGAGAGCAAGUGAACGAUAACAUAGCUAAACGACAAAGGUAGACAGGGAGGUGAGCUUGGUCCAGACCCUUAGUAGCUGUCAGCUGAUUGAGAGCACUCCAUUGUCCGGAGGUGCUUAUGAUUCUUCUUUUGGUAUAUAUGCAUAUUUUGGGCACGACGGAGUCUUGUUCCGUCUAUAUGUUUAGUAUGUCAGUAGAGGCUCGUAGAUACGCAGUGUGGGUCAGAUGGUCUCACAAGAUGUUAUUAUUAUGUAUAUAUUAUUUUGAUGGCCGAGAGGAAAAUGUAUAUAAGUAUUUAUGUUUCUAUAUAAAAUAUGAUUUUCCUACAA